CGGUCGAUCCGUUAAUUUUUCCAAGGCUCGAAAUCAUUGUUUACUGACCCUGCAAUCACCACCCGACCUUUUCCCGUGCUUUGGCCUCACUCGCACGCUAUCACGAAUCACUUCCCGAUAGGUCACCCAUCCUUCCACUACUCCAACUCAACUCCAACUCAAGCACGCUUAACUCUGGAGUUCUUUCAGGAUGUGCUCCGGAAAAGGUAAAUCAACUUUGGUGACAUAGGUAGCCAAAUCAAUUCUUUUAAGCCUUUUCACAU
rnacentral:lncRNA from 1 species